rnacentral:rRNA from 1 species
AAGCGCUUGUGACCAGACUUGGGCUUGGUUGAUCAUCCGGGGUUCUCCCCGGUGCACUCUUCCGGCUCAGGCCAGCAUCAGUUCGCCCUGGGGGAUAAAGGCUUCGGGAAUGUGGCUCUCUCCGGGGAGUGUUAUAGACCGUUGCGUAAUACCCUGAUCUGGACUGAGGUUCGCGCUCUGCAAGGAUGCUGGCGUAAUGGUCAUCAGCGA